UCAACCACUGAGCCACAUCCCCCAGCCAUAUUUUGUAUUUUAUUUAGAGACAGGAUCUCACUGAAUUGCUUUGUGCCUAGCCACAUUGCUGAGGCUGGCUUUGAACUCCCAAUCCCCCUGUCUCAGCCUCCUGAGCCACUGGGAUUUCAGUACACCGCGCACAGUUAUUGACUAUUUCUGUUCUUGAAUGUGGGUCACAUUCUCUUCCUUCUUAAGUUUUCUUAUAAUGUUUUAUUUUAUACCACAUAUGAAUUAAAAAAGAAGUAGAAACUCAAGUGAAUGAUAUUUCCUUCCAAAAAAGUAUAUGCUCUGUUGUGGUCAUACACUAAAGUGGGGCUGAGUCUAUAUGAUUUGUAAUGAUUCAUUUCUGGGUUUUGUUGGAGCUUUGGGUUAAUGUUAGCCUUUAAAUCUUAUAGUCACAUAGUAUACAUCCUCCUUACCCCAAUUCACUUUCAAAUUACUGGUGUUUUUAUAUCUAUAAUGCAUCUUUAUAGACAACAAUAUGUGGAUCUUACUUCUUUAUCCAGUAUCCAGUCUAACAAGCUCUACUUUUUAAUUGGUGUGCAUACACUGUAAAUAUAUUACAUAUAUUAAUGAUGUGUUUAAAUUCUCACCUAGUAUCUUUUUUUUUUUUUUCUUUCCUGUUUCCCUUCAGUUUUUCAUUCUUUCCUUGCUCCUUUCCUGGUCUUAAG
rnacentral:lncRNA from 1 species